rnacentral:lncRNA from 1 species
UUUUAGUCCUAAACACCCAUUUACAACCACAUUAGAUCGAUUUGGUGGAAUAGGUGUCAAUUUCCAUGUAUCAUUGUCCAUAAGAGAUUGGUACUCUUCUUCCAUAGCCUUCUCCCACUUGAUUGCAUCUUCACACUUCAUAGCAUCAUACAAUGACAAUGGAUCAGCAAGAAGAGCAAUAUUUGCAUUUUCUUCACUUACUUGAGGGAAGAUGUGAUUCUUCCACCAUUUGCCACAUUGCCUUCUUUCUCUCAAAG